GGCUACGGCCAUAUCACGAUGAAUGCACCUCAUCCAGUCCGAUUUGAGAAGUUAAGCAUCGUCGAGCCACAUCAGUACUGAGGUUGGAGACAACUUGGGAACCUGUGGUGCUGUAGUCU
rnacentral:rRNA from 1 species